GACGAACGCUGGCGGCGUGCUUAACACAUGCAAGUCGAGCGGUAAGGCCCUUUCGGGGGUACACGAGCGGCGAACGGGUGAGUAACACGUGGGUGACCUGCCCUCAGCUCUGGGAUAAGCCUGGGAAACCGGGUCUAAUACUGGAUAUGACUCCAUGACGCAUGUUGUGGGGUGGAAAGCCUUGUGCGGCUGAGGAUGGGCCCGCGGCCUAUCAGCUUGUUGGUGGGGUGAGGCCUACCAAGGCGACGACGGGUAGCCGGCCUGAGAGGGCGACCGGCCACACUGGGACUGAGACACGGCCCAGACUCCUACGGGAGGCAGCAGUGGGGAAUCUUGCGCAAUGGGCGAAAGCCUGACGCAGCGACGCCGCGUGAGGGAUGACGGCCUGGU
rnacentral:rRNA from 1 species